GGUCCCAUUGUGUAGCGGUUUAGCACUCAGGACUCUGAAUCCUGCGACCGAGUUCGAGUCUCGGGUGGACCU
rnacentral:tRNA from 1 species